AACUUGCAACAACCAUCUUCGUGCCAACUUCACGCCAUAUUUCCCGAGAUUUGUCACGUGGUCGGCCGACGGUUGCCGAGCCCGGCCGAGCGACGCCGGCUAUUGAAUCAUUUCGGUUGGGAUUAAACGCGCAUCGAACACUUGUUCUCGCCACGGUUAACGACGUACAAAUGCAUCCCUUGAUUGGACUGAUUGCAGCUCCCUUUCCUUCGACGACACAGCGAGCAUCGAAAAUAAUUAAUCGAGGAUACACCGAACGAUGGAAUCUGGGAAUCGCGUUGGUUCAGGUAUGCGAGAAUGACGCUGGAGUUAUGCUGAUAAUGACCUUUAAUUUUUUAUGAACGUUAUGUAAUUGAAAUUGUAAUCGCCAUGCUCUAUAGGUUAGCCUGCGGAAGUAUUCAAAUGAAUUUACCGCGGACGAUGAGAGAUUGAAAGUUGUCAUUAUACUGUCCGUUACGAGAUCCCACUUAUUCACUUUGACGAAAUGAGUUAAUAUGCUUUCACCGUUCGAGGGUCUUGUGAAAAUGAUGGUUUUGAAAGUGGCAGUCAGCGACACUUGUGUAGUUAGAAAAUCUUCGUCACGGUUUUUGCUAGAUCAUGCAAUGGAAUUGCCCGACGAAAAAUUUGAGUAAGCUAUCGAACAAUCGUCACACGGUACUAAAAAGUAUCAUCGAUAAGUAAAGUCAGCCGAGAAGCGACUAUGCUGAUGCAUGCUCUACCAAUCAGAAGUACAGGAACGCCUAGGGUCUUUCUCGCAGCGGUGGACAAACCGCGGUUAAGUACCUGUCAGUGUAUUCGAACGGUCCCGACGACUACAAAAGCCAGAGAUAUAAAAAGAAACAGGGAAAAAGUAUUAGGAGAGCAGGACGUGUAACGGCGCGACGUGCGGUGGUUAAAUGGCGGCGAUGAGAACCUCUCCGUUUCGUACACUCGAUGAAAGGAGCGUUGUACGAACGAACGAACGAACGAACGAACGAACGAACGAAAGGGGACCGACGCGUGCGAAUACCGGACAAGACGGCUGUCCCGUGUUUCGCAACGGUGGUGAAUAAAUUUAUAGACGCAUUAUCCUAAACGGUGGUAAACGCGGCCUCGUUAGUGCGACUCGAAAAUUGCGCGGGGUUACAUUAUAAUAAUCAUGGCACGCCCGUAGCUGGGGUAAUAGUGAAAUGCCCAGCAGAUCAGAGAUAACCAUUCACGGGACGAACGGAUGCACAAUAAGACAUAGAUGUCUACGAAGUUGUGCCUCCGGCGGUGACUCUGCACUUGCGAUGUCAGACGAACACCUAUCAGAAGCACCGGAGAAAGAACGCCCAGAAGAAAGGGGGGAGGAUGGGAGACAGUAAGGAUCACGCUGGGCUAGCUGGAAUAUUAUUUUCAGCGGUGAAUAAUAAACAGGUUACUUUAUUUUAAACCGUCACUUUCAAAGGUAAACACCCCGCGCGUUGUAACAAUCUGGAAUAUCAGCGAGAAAUAAUUCAUUAGAGGGAUACUGAAGAAUUACCUUGAAACAUUCCACGAAGCGACGCUAAGUAGAAUCUCAGUUCCAAGGAUCGCAAGCUUCUAGAUUAAAAUAUUCUAUCGUUACCAAUUACCAAAAAUCCCUCGAAUCUAGUUUAACACUAGAACCAGGUGGGUUAAUAUCACCUGCUUCUACAACUGCAGAUUCUUAGAGAAUGAUUAACCAAGUUGAUUAAUACCUGAACUGAAUAAGCCAAUUGAGAUCUUAAAUCUACAUUUGUAGUUUACGAAGAAACG